rnacentral:tRNA from 1 species
AUUUAUAUAGUUUAAGUAAAACAUUACAUUUUCACUGUAAAAAUAAAAAUUUAUUUUUUAUAAAUA